GAGGGUGUAGCUCAAAGAUGGAGCACGUGCUUAGCAUGCAUGAGGUCCAGGGUUCAAUCCCCAGUACCUCCA
rnacentral:tRNA from 1 species